rnacentral:pre_miRNA from 1 species
CACCUACUCCCUCUGUCCCAAAUUUCUUGUCUUAGGUUUGUCUAGAUAUGGAUGUAUCUAAUACUAAAAUGUGACUUGAUACAUCCAUAUCUAGACAAAUCUAAGACAAGAAUUUUGGGACGGAGGGAGUACUUU